rnacentral:rRNA from 1 species
AUUGAACGCUGGCGGCAGGCCUAACACAUGCAAGUCGAACGAGUGGCGGACGGGUGAGUAAUGUCUGGGAAACUGCCCGAUGGAGGGGGAUAACUACUGGAAACGGUAGCUAAUAACGCAUACCAUAGGAUGUGCCCAGAUGGGAUUAGCUUGUAGGUGAGGUAACGGCUCACCUAGGCGACGAUCCCUAGCUGGUCUGAGAGGAUGACCAGCGAAAGUGGAACUGGGCCACGGUCCAGACGCCUACGGGGUGCAGCAGUGGUGAAUAUUGCACAAUGGGCGAAAUCCUGAUACAGCCAUGCCGCGUGUAUGAAGAAGGCCUUCGUGUUGUAAAGUACUUUCAGCGGGGAGGCGUUACCCGCAGAAGAAACACCGGCUAACUCCGUGCCAGCAGCCGCGGUAAUUC